UUCUAACCUGUGUAACGCGUUUGUUUUUGUUAAGUGUUUUAUAAAACACUGGAAACAAAAUCCUCAAUCUUACUAAACACUCGAACCUUGAUAGUUUCUUUCUCAGUACAUCUUCGACUCUUUCUCUCAAACUCAACGAUGUCGCUCCUUUGCUCUCCGUCGCGGCUGCACCGUCCUCCGUCGAAUGGAGGAGGGGAGAUGGUUCGGAUCUGGGUGGCUCGCUGGAGGUUCUGGGUUCGUGGGGUUGUUCUGGAAGGGUUCUAGUGCCGAGGAAGGGAGGAUCGUGGUGGUUCGUGGCUGGUUGGGUUUGGUUGUUAGUUAGGUGGUGCGGUGGUGUGGUGGGUAGUCUCUCUUCCAGUUCACAACUCUGCAUCUGAGUUAUGGAACCAGUUGCAGCAAAAUGUCUCUAAGCAUUCCUUCGAUACCCCUCUUUACAGAUUCAACGUCCCCAAUCUCCGGGUCGGAACCCUAGACUCUCUCAGCGAUGAUCUCGCCGAAUGAAACGAUAUUUAUGUAGAAGCUGUUGCUGGAACACGAAGUACUUGUUGCAGAAAGCGUGCUGCAAGACGCUGAGUGAUGCCACCCAUAACACUCCCCCCAAGUCUUCGUGCCUUAGGUUGCUGAAGGACCUGUAGUAUAGGUAGCAAAAGUGCUGGAUCAAAAUCAUUAGAGGACUGCAGAAGUCUCCAUAUCCUGAAUACUUGAUCUCUAAGCUCUAUCAUGUAUUGUAAUUCAGCUUCUGACAUCAUAAGGGGUGCAUUCGCAUUGCCAUUGAAAACAAGAGUCCUUAUAAAAUCAGGAACUGACUUGAAUGAAUCAGAAAUUGUGCUAAGAGUAAAAGCUUCAGUGACACGAACAACCUCUUUGAUAACAAGAGUCCUGAGCACUUCUCCAUCAGAACUCAAUAAUACCUUUAGGACAGGUUGUAAAGAUUCUUUAGCAGAGAAAUCUCGGUCCACUCUCCCCUGAACAAGAAGCUCUGAUUAUAUAUUUUGCUCUUUUCUGAGGAAUAUAGUAAAUAAUAACAUCUCUACUUUUUUGCAUGAUAUGGAUUGAAUUUUCUGUUUGACCCUUAAAAUACCAGCAAGUUGUUGGGAGGGAGUGUAUCUAAAUCAGUCCCCAAAAACCUUGUUUCUUCUUAUUUCAUUUAUGAUUUUUGUAGCCAUCAUGCCUUCUAUCCUAAAACUCUUCUCUCUUUGUCUACUUGUAGGCUUACCAAAUAUUGCAGUAUGUGGAAUCAUAUCAGAAAGAAAAUAGGUUCAAAUCCAUGUCUAUUGUACUCUUAUGACUGGAAUGGAAGCAAGCUUGGACAUGUUUACAAGUUUCUUAGGUCCCAGAGGUUUGAUUCAUCCUAUGAUAUUGCUAAUAAAUACAUUGACAGUUAUGCAGAUGCUCACAAGUAGGUUAGUCAUCAAAAUCCUAGAGGAAAUAUCUGUGGUGUUGACUUCAUUUGUAUUUUCAAUCCUAACCAAGCACUCAAACCCUUGAAGACAAGCUGGGCUGAAGCUGUUUUAACAAUAAUAAAGAUGUACAACAGGGGUGAUCAUGGAGCUUGGCAUUUGGAGCAUACCAGUUAGGUUUCUAGCUAUAUUUUGUAGAUUAAUUUAGUUCUAUCACAUACUUUCUACAAGACAUAAUUUCAUGAGAUAGUCUUUGAAUAA